UACGAAGGGGGCUAGCGUUGCUCGGAAUUACUGGGCGUAAAGCGCACGUAGGCGGAUCUUUAAGUCAGGGGUGAAAUCCUGGAGCUCAACUCCAGAACUGCCUUUGAUACUGAGGACCUUGAGUUCGGGAGAGGUGAGUGGAACUGCGAGUGUAGAGGUGAAAUUCGUAGAUAUUCGCAAGAACACCAGUGGCGAAGGCGGCUCACUGGCCCGAUACUGACGCUGAGGUGCGAAAGCGUGGGGAGCAAACAGGG
rnacentral:rRNA from 1 species